GCCUCCAUAGCUCAGUUGGUAGAGCCACUGAUUUGUAAUCAGUAGGUCGGCGGUUCAAGUCCGUCUGGAGGCUC
rnacentral:tRNA from 1 species